UGCUGAGCAACCUGAUUUGUGACCUACUACUUGGAUCACUGCCUGAAAAUAUUUGGGAGGCUGUAAAGUGAUACAGUCCUAAGGAAUAUGACCCUGUAGCGUCCACCACUGCCUUUUGGAAUGCAGCCCAGUCUUCCAUGUAAAGAAGCCUAAUUUUGCUUAUCAGACGAGGUGAGGCCACAUGGACCAGGGAAGGCCGACCGGCUGAGACCUACAUUCCUGGGACUACCGAUGCUAGCCAGCAUCCACCUGCAACCAUGGAAAGGAGGUUAUUUUGGGCAUUUUAGGUUGUCUAGUCCUAAUCAAGCCUCCAGAGGGCCGCAGCUGUGUGAAUGACCUGGGGUGAGACCAGGGGAGGAACUAUAUAGGAACCUGCCUUAGGCUGCUCACCCAGACAGCAUGAAGAAAUGAGAGAAAUUUUAAAAAUUCUUUUAAGCCACUCGGUUUUGAGAUUUUUUUGUGCAUAAUGGUAGACAGCUGACACAGAGGAAAACUGAGAAAGCAAGCAGUUGGCCUGCCUGCUGGUUGGGAGAAGGCAGGCAGCUUUGGCUACUUUUGGGCACUGCCCUGGGAAGAUAAACUAGAAGCUCUUAGUGCCAUGCCUGGAUUCCUGGAAUCAAGAUAAAAUACAUCAUUUUAGGUCUUGCUAAGAGGAAAGAAGAGGAAGGGGAAAAGCAUAGCCACAGAAAAGAUCUGGGCGGUCCCAGGAAUCCCUAGCCACGAUCACUGGGAAAGGUUUUUCUCCUCCAAAGCCAGCAGUAACGACAGGAGGAGGUUAUUGUGCUUCAAGUUUGAAAGCAGCAUAUGAAGAAUUGAAAAACUGUGAUACCACCAAUGAAACAAAAUACAGCUCUAAAAGAAAGCUGACCCCAAAAGAUGAAGAUCUACAAGUUACCUGACAAAACGUAUAAAAUAACCAUAUUACAGUGUCUUAGUGAGCUACAAGAGAACAUACAUUUAUUUCUUCAAGUAACUUUCUGUCCCUUUCUCAAGCUGUUUUUAGAACAUCGUUAAAGAAGAACGUCGAUAAGCAAACCAGUGGUGAUGUUCUUAUGAGAUUCUAAUGAGAUAAUGCAGUGGAAGCAUUAACGCAAAAUGCAAAGGACUGCGUAGGAAACAGGCUACCCAAAUGGAUGGUGUUGUGAUGCGGGAGAUUUAGGAGAGCUGUCAAAGAAGGAAAUGAUUGUUGGGGCAAGAAGAGGAACGGCCAUCUAGAUCAAUGGACCAAUAAACUUCACACAAAGAAAAUUUAGGUCCUGGGGCUGCGGAUUUA